UGUAAAACAUUGAAGGGCUACCUUGAUUUCAAGAUUUAUGUGGACGUGUAGUAUCACGAAAUGAAAAAAGGAAUUUUUUUUGACUUUUUUCUAUCCAGAAAGAAAACUUGUUCGUAGGAACUAUUUUCAUCCUAAAGGGUGAAAAUAAAAUAAGAUGAACUGAAACAUCUAAGUAAUCUUUUAAAAAAUCAACCGAGAUAUUGUUAGUAAUGGCGAGUGAACGCAAUUUAGAUUUGUUUAAAAAUAAUUAAUUAUUGAAUUAUUCAAAGAAGGUGAAAUUCCUGUAAAUCAAUUUUUUAUUUUUAACUAAGUAAAACAAAACCAGCUUAUUUUGUUUGAAGAAUGGGGUCCCACCCUCAAAAUCUAAACCUUGUCUUGGAAAUCGAUAGUAAACAAGUACCGUGAGGGAAAGGUGAAAAAGAACUUUUGAGAGUGAAAAGUUUAAAAUUCAAUGUUUAAUAGCAGUCGGAGCUUUAUUAGUGACGGCGUACCUUUUGCAUAAUGGGUCAGUGAGUUUUUUUUACAAGCAAGCUUAAGUUGAAAAAUGAAGGCGAUUAAAAAUAUAUUAAAAGUUUGUGAGAAAAAACCCGAAACUAAGUGAUCUAACUAUGAACAGGUUGAAAAUUUAAUGGAAACAUUAAUUGGAGGACCGAACUCGUGUAUGUUGAAAAAUACUGGGAUGAUUUGUGGUUAGGGGUGAAAGGCUAAUCAAACUUAGAGAUAGCUGGUUUUCCGCGAAAUCUAUUUAAGUAGAGUGUUCAAAAAAGAAAAAUUGGGGUAGAGCACUCCAUAAGCUAGGGGGGUUUUCGGAUCUUACCGAACUUAAGGAAACUCCGAAUACAUUUUUGUCUUCUUGAACAACCGGACUGUGGGCGCUAAGGUUCAUAGUCGAGAGGGAAACAGCCCAGAUUGUUCGAUAAGGUCCUUAAUAAAAUUUUAUUUGAGAAGAAGUGUGAAGGUUCAGACAUUCCCGUAGUAGGCUUGGAAGCAGCCAGCUAGUUAAAAAAGCGUAACAGCUUACGGGUUUAACUUUUAUGCGCUUAAAAUGUAAGGGAUUUAAAAUUUUAACCGAAUCGACAAACUUGUUAAAAGUGGUAGCGGAACGUCUUGGAGUUUAAUGAAGUUAAUUUGUUAAAAUUAAUAGAGAAACCAAGAGUGAGAAUACUGACAUUAGUAGCGAUAAACAAUGAUAAACAUUGUCGCCGUAAGUCCAAGGUUUCCGACGUAAAAUUAGAUUUCGUCGAGAAAAGACGGUCCCUAAAAUAAAGGUGUAAACCUGACUUGAUGGGUAUUAACUAAGAUUCUGAAUAAAGUGACGAAAAAAGAGGUUAAUACGAAAAAAUUGAUUUUUUCGUGUUUAUUAUUUUUUCCAGGAAAUAGCUGAAAAAAAAAACCGUACUGAAAACCGACACAGGUGGACGAGUAGAGUAUACUAAGGCGUUUGAAAUAAUUAUGGUAAAGGAACUCGGCAAAAUGACUCUGUAACUUCGGGAGAAGGAGUGAUUAAAAAAAAGAAAUUUUUUUUGAUUGGCACAGAAUUGGGGGUAGCGACUGUUUAGUAAAAACACAGGUCUCUGCUAAUUCGUAAGAAGAUGUAUAGGGACUGACACCUGCCCGGUGCUGUAAGAUUAAAGGGAGAGGUUUUGGCCUUUAACUUAAGUCCCAGUAAACGGCGGCUGUAACUCUGACGGUCCAAAGGUAGCGAAAUUCCUUGUCGGGUAAGUUCCGACCUGCAUGAAUGGUGUAACGACUUCCCCGCUGUCUCUACCAUAAAUUCAGUGAAAUUGAAAUAUCUGUGCAGAUGCAGAUUACCUACAGCUAGACGGAAAGACCCUAUGCACCUUUACUAUUUUUAUACACUGUUCAAAAAAAAUUUUUGUCUAGUCUAGGUGGGAGCUUUGGUAAUCAUGGAAAACCACUCGUAAAUUUUUUUUGAACUCAUUCUUGAUGAAAACAAUGUAUAUUAGGUAGUUUGACUGGGGCGGUGACCUCCUAAAAAGUAACGGAGGUAUUUACAAGGUAGGCUCAUUAGGUUGAUCCCUAAGAAGAGUGUAAUGGCAUAAGCCUGCUUGACUGCAAGAUUUACAAAUCAAGCAGAAACGAAAGUUGAACAUAGUGAUCCGGUGGUUCUGUGUGGAAAGACCAUCGCUCAAUGGAUAAAAGGUACGCUAGGGAUAACAGGCUGAUGACUCUUAAGAGUCCCUAUCGACGGAGUCGUUUGGCACCUCGAUGUCGGCUCAUCACAUCCUGGAGCUGAAGGUGGUUCCAAGGGUUCGGCUGUUCGCCGAGGAAGGUGGUACGUGAGCUGGGUUUAGAACGUCGUGAGACAGUUCGGUCCCUAUCUACUGUAGGCGUCAGAAAACUGAGAAACUUAGACCUUAGUACGAGAGGACCAGGAAAAGUAAAUCCAUGGUAUACCGGUUGUUUUAUCAAAGGCAUGGCCGGAAAGCUACAUUUAUACUAGAUAAUUGCUGAAAGCAUAUAAGUAAGAAUCUAUUUUCAAGAUUAGUUUUCUAUAAGAAUCGUGAAAGAUUAUCACGUUGAUAGGCCUUUGGUGGACAAACUGUAAAGUUUGAAGCUAAAAGGUACUAAUUUUCUAAAAAA
rfam:Nannochloropsis gaditana mitochondrion, complete genome.